CACUCUAUCCCCCUCCUCUCCCCCGCGAUGGCGUUGGCCGAUGUCCCUCUCAGUCUCUCCCCCUCCUCUCCCCACCGCGCCGCCCACCACGUGCGUCUCCCAACUACGCCGCCGCCGCCCUCCUGCGCUGCUGCGAAGGAGGCAACCACCGCCGCCCACCUGCGCAGCUCAACAACCGCCGACCCACCUCGCCCACCGCGGCCCACAGCUGGACCACCUCCUCCCCGAGGAGACCACGAACUCCGCCUCGCCGAGAGCUACGCCAUCCUCGAGCCGCGCUUGCUGGGGAGCCGUGGAUCGACGGAAUCGCUCCCAUCUCCUCCCACUCGCGCCUCUCCUGUCUUCCCCGAUCCGUUCAAAAGAAUUAGGGUGCCCCGCCGGUGUAGUGGUCCGCCGCUCGCCGCCGCUGGAGGUCCGCCGCUCGCCACCUGCCCCCCUCUCGAUUGCUUGCUAUGCAGCCUGGGCGUCGUGGUCCACCGCUCGCCGCCGCUGGACGGCUGGAGGUCGUCGGCACCCAAGUACCGCCCACGCUCUGGCGCUUGCACACCGCCGGCCCUGCCCCAUCCCACCCUCCGCCACCAUCUUCCCCACCCCGAGCUCGGAUUUACGACGCCCACUGCCUUCCAGUUCGAGCUCCGCCUCGACCUCAUCCCUGCUGCCGCCGUCUUCCCUGAACCAAGGAAGCCCUCAUCUGAUACGCUCUCCUCCGCGACGUGCUUCUCCAACCAUUGGUACGCGACGGUGGUUCGGUCCGGGAGGUGGCUCCUGCAAUCCUGGCGUCGCCGCAGCGGUGGUUCCAUUCCGGCGGCAUCAGGGGAGCACACAACGUCCACGAGCAGCAAGCAGAGCUGGCCAAUGAUGCAGCAGCGCUGGCCAUGAGGAGACGCCUGCCGUGGCGGACGCGGAGACAACAGCCAUGGGCGUGGAAGACGGUUUUGGAUCCUGUGAGCCGCCGCCGCUGCCGCACAGAAAGUCAACGCGGGCCUUCUGCUGCUCCAUGUCCAACAAGUCGCCCACGAGGCGUCAGUGUGGCAUUGCUAGCUCCAGCUCCCCCCUGCAAUCGUCUCUGCCGCCGGCACUUGCACGCAAUCGUGCUGGUGAGGCUCUUCAUGUUUACUUUGUUCUGCUUGUAACAUGGCCUAUACUCACAAAUAUUUUGCAUCAUCUGAACAAAUGAUGGUUUCUGUAGUUCAAGAUCAAAGGCAAGAAUCAGCCAAAUAUGAUGAUGAGAACAAGGCUAAUGAUGGAGAACCUUCAUCUAUCGAAGCUGAGCAGUCUAUUGGGAAUACUAAGUUUCAAUGCGCAUCCUAAGUUUCAGUUACCUGAAAUCAAGGCCAGUUUCAGUCGAUGCCGAAGUAAACUACCACAUACGUGAUGACCUUGAGAAAAUCCAUGCACUUCAAUUGGACAGGAGUUUUCUGCCACGUAAUCGAUGAUGCACUUCACGUGACAGAAUUGUUUGUUAAAGGAACUUUUGGCAAGAAAUACACAACCGUGUCAUUCAGUGCUGGACCUCUGUUGUUGGCAAGAAAUACACUAAUGUGUAGCUCACUGCUGAGGUUUUUUAAAGGAACUUUUGGCAACAAAUACACAACCGUGUCAUUCAGUGCUGGACCUCUGUUAUUGGCAAGAAAUACACUAAUGUGUAGCUCACUGCUGAGGUCAGCAAGAGGGGGUACAGGCACAUCUGACACCUUUUUCUCUUCCGGCGCCUUGCUAUUUGCAUUUCCCAUUCGUACCUAUCAUUUUUCAACAGCAUUAGUAUUGAUGUGGUAUGUAUACUGAACAAUUGGCUUGCCAUGUAUUUUUGGUGUUCCAACUGGGAACAUGGGGAAGAAAUGACUACAUUGUAUACAUCUGAUAAACAUUUAUUGUCUUGGGAUGUAUUUUUGGUGUUCGAACUGGGAACAUGGGGAACAUUUA